AGUGAAUAGCUCUGUGGUAGAGUGCUUGCUUAGCAUGCAUGAGGUCCUGGGUUCAAUCCCCAGUACCUCUA
rnacentral:tRNA from 1 species